GUCAAAGUUUAGAGGCUUAAAGCACAUUACAAAUUGGCCCAUGGCUUAGAAAAGAAAGAGCCUUGCUAAAACAACCCCACGCGUCAAGAGCCCAACCCACAAAGGAACUCGAACUGAGGCGGGUUGUUGCCCGGGGCAAAGGAGAAUCUCUACAAAGCAAAAUGGGGCCAUCACUGCAGCUUCAUCCAGCAAUUUCACUAGAAGGGAGAUAUUAUGAGCUAUAGAACCACCGCCAGGGCUAAUACGGCAAGAUUGCCUAAACCAUAAAAUCCAAGCUAGAUAGUACCCAGGAUUCAAGCAUCCCAGAUAAGCUCCAAAAGGAA
rnacentral:misc_RNA from 1 species